CCCUUAGAUGUUCUGGGCCGCACGCGCGCUACACUGACGAUGGCAACGAGUUUUUCCUUCGCCGAAAGGUGUGGGUAAUCUUUUGAAACAUCGUCGUGCUGUGGAUAGAUCAUUGCAAUUUUUGAUCUUGAACGAGGAAUUCCUAGUAAGCGCGAGUCAUCAGCUCGCGUUGAUUACGUCCCUGCCCUUUGUACACACCGCCCGUCGCUACUACCGAUUGAAUGGUUUAGUGAGGACUCCUGAUUGGCGCCGCCGCCCCGGCAACGGAGCAGCGGACUGCCGAAAAGUUGUUCAAACUUGAUCAUUUAGAGGAAGUAAAAGUCGUAACA
rnacentral:rRNA from 1 species